GGGAAAAAUUAUUUUCACUAACUUUAAGACUCCAGAGACACUUUUCUCAGCCAUGACCAGUAAUGUUUUUAAAAGAUUUUGGAAGGAAUAGCUCCUCACUAUACCACCAGUUCGUGAUUUUAAGGGAGGAGACAACCCCUCAUACUGUCUUAUGCCCAAUUUCUGCCUCCAAAGAAAGAAGUAAAAUCUAAAAGGCAGAAAUGAAAUCCACAAGCAGACAGCCUGGCCCCACAUCCUGGGCCUGGUAGUUAAAGAUUGACCCAUGACCUAAUCGGUUAUGUUAUCUAUAGAUUACAGACAUUGUAUAGAAAAGUACCAUGAAAAUCCCUGUCCUGUCCUGUUCCAUUCUAAUUACCGGUGCAGGCAGCCCCGAGUCACGUACCCCCUGUUUGCUCCAUCGAUCACGACCCUCUCAUGCGGACCCCCUUAGAGUUGUGAGCCCUUAAAGGGACAGGAAUUGCUCACUCGGGGAGCUCGGUUUUUGGAGACAUGAGUCUUGCUGAAGCUCCUGGCUGAAUAAAGCCCUUUCUUCUUUAA
rnacentral:lncRNA from 10 species